UAUUUAUUUUUUGAAUUUUGGCUGAGAUAGUAGCGAACUUAAUUCUUUUGCCUCCCGCAUUGAUGGUUAGUCAGAGGGCAAUUUUUGUGUCUGCGAUAAACAUUCAUGGGUCUGGACGCAAACAACAUUUGUAAAGAGUAUCGUGCGUUGGUGGGGUUGUGCAGGGUUUUCUAUUUCAGAUACUGGAUGGUAUUCAAAGCGUUCUUUGAAUCUGUUGUUGGGAUUAGUUAAUUCGAGUGCAUUUUAAUGGUUGCUCGUUUACAGAGGAGACAAACAAGAGUUCGAUGGAGGCUGACACAGUGCAAGAGAAGGUCUCUAAUCUAUAGGAAGCAACUUUUGUAUUAGAACAUGCUGAAAGUCAUACUGGAGCGAUCAGAAGUUCCCUUCUACCCUAUUGCAACAGCAGUAGAAGAUGAAGAGGCAAAGCAGAAGAUCAGGAAAAAUAGCAACUGAAUAAGGGCAAAAUUUUUCUUCCAGCCAUUCAUGGCACUCACAUUGGAUUCAUGGGUUAGGUCCAUUUCUCUUGUUGAUAUUAGCACUUUGCACAGGCCAUUGACAACAGAGGAUUACUGAGCUGCAUCAUCAACUUAGAUGCACUCGAAUCUUGUGUUUGGCCACUCAAUUCUCGUAGCCGAUCAACCACAACUGUAUAGCUUUACUGAUUUCAUAUGGUGUCUUCAAAGUUCUUUUCUUCAGUUGUAUUCGGUUCAGGGUGUAAACUGCAGUGCUGAUUGCUUCUCUCCAAAAUGUUUGAGGAAUCCUAGCACGACGCUGAGAGCCACACAACCACAAUAUUGGAGAACAACAAUGGAAGCUAUGAUUUUCAUCAACAAAAGGGGUUUUCGCAUGUGUAUGAAUAGUAUUUUUCAUACGGUCAAGGAAUUGACUUUAUAAUCGCCCUGAAUUACUAUGAACAAUGCCAAUGAAGAAUCGAACCUCUAUGCGAUUGUGGGCGACCGUUCAUAAAAACCCUCUUGUUGACCGUUGAGUGCUGAUGAUCUAUUCGCGAGCUCAAGUGGUUGACCUCCCUUCUUUUUUGUUUUUAUUGAUGAGUAUCUGUGUAGGUGAGUGUCAUGAUCAUUCUGGUGUGCCUGCUGGUGAGUCGGGUCAUAUGGAAUUUUGCAUUUGUUAAGAGGGUGUUUCGCAUUCGUGCCUCAAGUGUUUCACAUUCAUCCAAGGUAAAAGCAUGGUAAGACAUUUAUGUUAUCUCUAUUAGUAACUACCUUAACUUUUUAAUUGUGAUUAGUUUUUGCAAUUCUGAAAAGAUUGUUGAUCUGUUACAAAUUUUAUUUAAAAUGCAUCUAACCCCAUGUCUCGUAAGAUAAAAAUCAAGAGUGCAGAUUCCAAACAACAGGUAGAACAUAGAAGACAACAAAGACAUUUCUAGAAAACCCUGAGAGCAGAACAAAAACUAAUUGAACCAGAGUUUGAAAAUCACUUAUUUUUAGUAUUAAAGAUGUGUCCAAGCCUAUAUAUUGAAAUAUAGAAUGAU